UGAUAUCCUCUGUAGUUCUUUCAACAGACUUCAGCCUCUGAAGCAGACACACUUCCCUGGUAGAUAUCUGAAUUUCUUCUUUUUCCAGAUCAUCAAUCUCUUGCUCAAGUCUGUAAAUAGAAAAUGCAUUAUGCCACCAAUAGGUCAUCUUGGGUCCAUGCACUUCUGGAAGCUCCUUUCCUUGUGUAAAAAAGGCUCCAAAGAGAUAUAGACAAGGCAGUAUUGAAUUUGUAACUAAUAUUGAAGUGCCAUGCUCUGAAUGUGAAGGCCUGGAUAUGCUUACUUAGCGUUGGUAUUCAGCUGUCUACGUAGGACCUUUAGCAGCCAGGUUGACAUUCUCUACUAUAGGAAAUAAUAGCAACCCAACUUUUGGUGCAGCAGAACAGAAAUGGGGCCUAGAACAGGAAACUGGUGACUUUCCAUCAAAGGAAUUAUACUGUAACUGAAUAAAGUAGAAGGAAUCUAACUUAACAUUGGAUAUUAAACAACUGGUAGUCAAGUUAAUACUGGUAACAGCUGUUCUGAGCAAUGCCAAGGCCAACAAGCCGAUUUUCCAGUGCCUCAUCUAUAAACCCGUAUGAUGUAAGUGGAGAAUGCUGUUGUGUAACCGGCUGCACGAGUACAGUACAUAAAACCAUGGCAACCACAUUUCAAGUGUGCACAGAUGCAGAGAUAUUUUGUACCCGCUCUGA